AGCGUUUGAUCAUGGCUCAGGACGAACGCUGGCGGCGUGCCUAACACAUGCAAGUCGAGCGGAGACAGUGAGUAGCUUGCUAUGAGCUGUUUUAGCGGCGGACGGGUGAGUAACGCGUGAGCAACCUUUCCCAGACAGGGGAAUAACACACCGAAAGGUGUACUAAUACCGCAUAAGACCACGGGAUCACAUGGUUCUGGGUAAAGAAUUA
rnacentral:rRNA from 1 species